AAGUCGAACGGUAACAGGAAGAAGCUUGCUGCUUUGCUGACGAGUGGCGGACGGGUGAGUAAUGUCUGGGAAACUGCCUGAUGGAGGGGGAUAACUACUGGAAACGGUAGCUAAUACCGCAUAACGUCGCAAGACCAAAGAGGGGGACCUUCGGGCCUCUUGCCAUCGGAUGUGCCCAGAUGGGAUUAGCUUGUUGGUGGGGUAACGGCUCACCAAGGCGACGAUCCCUAGCUGGUCUGAGAGGAUGACCAGCCACACUGGAACUGAGACACGGUCCAGACUCCUACGGGAGGCAGCAGUGGGGAAUAUUGCACAAUGGGCGCAAGCCUGAUGCAGCCAUGCCGCGUGUAUGAAGAAGGCCUUCGGGUUGUAAAGUACUUUCAGCGGGGAGGAAGGGAGUAAAGUUAAUACCU
rnacentral:rRNA from 1 species